rnacentral:rRNA from 1 species
GACGAACGCUGGCGGCGUGCUUAACACAUGCAAGUCGAACGGAAAGGCCCUGCUUUUGUGGGGUGCUCGAGUGGCGAACGGGUGAGUAACACGUGAGUAACCUGCCCUUGACUUUGGGAUAACUUCAGGAAACUGGGGCUAAUACCGGAUAGGAGCUCCUGCUGCAUGGUGGGGGUUGGAAAGUUUCGGCGGUUGGGGAUGGACUCGCGGCUUAUCAGCUUGUUGGUGGGGUAGUGGCUUACCAAGGCUUUGACGGGUAGCCGGCCUGGGAGGGUGACCGGCCACCUUGGGACUGAGGUACGGCCCAGACUCCAACGGGAGGCAGCAGUGGGGAAUAUUGCACAAUGGGCGGAAGCCUGAUGCAGCAACGCCGCGUGCGGGAUGACGGCCUUCGGGUUGUAAACCGCUUUCGCCUGUGACGAAGCGUGAGUGACGGUAAUGGGUAAAGAAGCACCGGCUAACUACGUG